rfam:Lupinus angustifolius cultivar Tanjil chromosome LG06, whole genome shotgun sequence.
AAACCAUGUGAUGAAUAUGGAAUUACAUUUUCUCAUGACGGUCAUCUGAGAUUCACUUUGAUGUAAUCAUCCUAUAUUUCUGAGUGGUU